AUGGUGUCGGGCGCAGCUGGUUCGGCCGCUCAUCCGGAGCGGUCGAGGCAAGAGGGAACCCGGUGGGAAUCCGGGACUGCCCCGCAGCGGUGAGUGGGAACGACCGCCGUCAUCAGCACUGGGCCGCCAACGGCCUGGGAAGCGACGGCCAGUAGGAGACCGGCGAGUCCGGUCACGCCCGCGAGUCCGAAGACCUGCCAGUGCGCCGUACGCCCG
rnacentral:ncRNA from 1 species